GCGGAGAGGAUAUUCGGGGAAAGCCAGGAAAGCACCAAGAGCCGUGGUCAACUGGAAUCCGAAACCGCGGGCCCCUUCACUGCCAGAGGCUGUUGGGCCCAAAUCUGAUCCAUGUGUGAGCCAGCUGAACUCAGAAGCAUUCCCAGGGAAGUGACGUCCCCCCGCCCCGGCCUCGAGCCUCCCUGCUUGACACACUCAACUGGGGGCCACAGAGCAAAUUCCAAGACAGUUUCAAGAAUGAUGAUUCAGAGGCUCAAAGAGGACAUUUACGGGUAAGAGCUUGCUUCAUCUCUGUGGCCAGGACCGGCCUGGGGACACAUGACAGGGGUUGCCAGCCCCAGCCUCCGGAGAGAGGGAAGGAUGGGUUGGCCGGGAGCCCUCACAGCGGGUCCCGGUCCGGAGCCCUGAGAUGGGGAGGAUCUCGGAGGCCAGAAGCCGCGGCUGGACUCUGCCGUCCCGGCUCCCGACCCCCUCCAUUGGUCUCCCUGCAUCCCGCCUCCCGGUCCCACUCGAGUGAGCUCCUGCAGACCCAGCGUGCGGGGCAGGCGGCGUGGACCCCUAGGACCUGCGCCCUCAAGACCCGCGUCCCCUCAGCUCCUCCCUCCGCACACCCGCCCCCCCACCCCAGGUCCUCUGUCCUAGGCGCCAGCCUCAGGCCGGGGACGCCAGCCCCAGUUACCGCUUCGGAAAGUGCCAAGCGCGCACCGCGCCAGGACAGACCGCCGCCCGCCACCCCCCGCCCCCGCAGCCCCUCCGUCCACGCCCGGCUCCUCCUCCUCCUCCUCC